GGAAUGAUAGGUCGCAUGUGUAGUACUAUGUGCAGGCUACUAUGCGUACCGGAUAGCUUCGAUCACGUGUGUAGUACUAUGUGCAGGCUACUAUGUGAAUCGGGUAUCAUUGAUUAUAAGGUGGUUGCUAUGUGUUGAUUCCACCGUGUAUCUGUUAUUAUUCCGAAGUGUUCAUCAGAAAAUCGACUAAGUGUAAUUGAAUGAUGAAUAUAUAUGUGGAAUUGAAUUGAAGAUUGACUUGAAAUUAGAAAUGAGAAAUUGGAGUGCUUUGAAUAUAGUGGUGAAUUG
rnacentral:lncRNA from 1 species